rnacentral:lncRNA from 10 species
GUGGCUCCCCACACGUAAGCAGCAGCUCCCCCCACACACGGCCCUCCCCACACACACACACCCGGCGGCUCCCCCCACCACACGGUGACUCCCCCUCACACAGCAGCUCCCCCCACACACGGCCCUCCCCCCACACACACACACCCGGCGGCUCCCCCCACCACACGGUGACUCCCCCUCACACAGCAGCUCCCCCCACACACGGCCCUCCCCCCACACACACCUGGCGGCUCCCCCCACCACACGGUGACUCCCCCUCACACAGCAGCUCCCCCCACACACGGCCCUCCCCACACACACACACCCGGCGGCUCCCCCCACCACACGGUGACUCCCCCUCACACAGCAGCUCCCCCCACACACGGCCCUCCCCACACACACACACCCGGCGGCUCCCCCCACCACACGGUGACUCCCCCUCACACAGCAGCUCCCCCCACACACGGCCCUCCCCACACACACACACCUGGCGGCUCCCCCCACCACACGGUGACUCCCCCUCACACAGCAGCUCCCCCCACACACGGCCCUCCCCACACACACACACCCGGCGGCUCCCCCCACCACACGGUGACUCCCCCUCACACAGCAGCUCCCCCCACACACGGCCCUCCCCCCACACACACACCCGGCGGCUCCCCCCACCACACGGUGACUCCCCCUCACACAGCAGCUCCCCCCACACACGGCCCUCCCCCCACACACACACCCGGCGGCUCCCCCACACAGAGCUGGGAGGCUCCAGUACUCUCGGAGCUUGGCUGGGGCUCCUGGGGAGGGCCGUGGCUCCUCCUCACCCGCUGGGGAGCCAGGAGUUCCAGGCCUCCUGCCCUGGUCACCUACGCGUCACCUAAGCCCCGAGGCCAGGCGGCUUCUUGUCUACUAAAGACUUCCGGAGAGAGGCAUUCACCCUGUGGUCAGAGCUGGGGUUUCCAUGGAGGAGCACCACAGCCAUAAAGAAAGUUAUGGAGGCUGUGAAGUGCAAGGUCAAGAGGCUGCAUCUGGUGAAGACCUUCUUGCUGGUAGGGUCUCUCUACCUGGUCCUGAGGCAGUCCAGGGCAUCACAUGGCUGGUGAGCCCCAGAGCGGAGGACCCUGCCGAGCUGUUUCCAGACUCCUGAUCCACAGAAACCGUGAGAGGAUAACAUUGUUCUGCUUGAAGCCACUACACCUGCCGUCACUUGUCUCGCAUCAUUAGGGAACCAACGUGCUCUGGAAGACAGCAACUCUCAGGGUCCAUUCCGCUGACACCAGCGCCUCAGAUGACACAGGACGUGGCAUGGUGGCUAUUGACUCAUCAAGGGAACAGCAAUGGCCACUCUGCACCUUGCAUUCCUAUCCUUUUUUGGGCUUCAGAUCAGAAAUCGCAACUUUUGCGUGGAGAUCCUGGGCCUCCACACUGCUGGCCUCCCAUCGUCCCAAGAAUGACUCCCUGGAAAGAGCCUGUUCAGACCCUUUGUGACUGGACUCUACUGUAAGAGGAGAAUCAAAUGCUUGCAAGAAAACUGUAAAGCAGAGUUUCCUAAAAUACAUUUCAUAAGCGUGAGUGCCAGGAGUGCCUUAAAAAUGUGACUCUAUUGUCAAAUAAGUUGGGCAAUUUACUGAAGUAUACAUGAAUAUGUUAAAACCUCCAAGGAGUCCUGAAUUUAAAACAAACCUACACACAAAAACAAAGGUAUUUUUUAACCUAUCUGUUUGUUUGUUUGUUUUUGUUUGUUCAUUUGUUUUGAGACAGACUCUGGCUCUGUCACUCAGGCUGGAGUGCAGUGGCGCAAACUCGGCUUAUUGCAACCUCCGCCUCCCAGGCUCAAGCAAUCCUCUCACCUCACCCUCCUGAGUAGCCCGCCACCAUGCCCAGCUAAUUUUUUGUAGUUUUGGUAGAGACAGCGUUUCACCAUAUUGCCCAGGCUGAUCUUGAACUCCUGACCUCAAGUCAUCCUCCUGCCUCAACCUCCCAAAAUGCUAGGAUUACAGGUGUGAGCCACCAGGCCCAGCCUAAAUUAUCUUUAACCCACUGUUUUCCUCAAAUUAUUUUAACAGAUAGCUCUUUUUAAAAAUAAAUAAAUAAAUAAACACUUUUACUAUCCCAAGUACUAAUAGGAAAUACUUCGAAAAAUGUGACCCAGGACCCCGCAGUGAGCUUCUCACACACCUGACUUCACCUCCAGUGGAAGGAAAUCUGCGGCCUGCUGAAAUAAGAGAUGAAGGAACUAAAAGAAAAUCCCCAACAUUUUUACUUUCAAAAACCCUAAUAAAUGGUACAAAUAGAAACAAAUAGCAUGAGAGACUUAAAUCUGCUAUAUUGAUGGUUACAUUUAAUUAGUGGUCUAGAGACUCCUAUUAGAAGGCAAAACUUGUCAGAAUGGAUAAAGCACUAGGGCCCAACUCUACAGUAUGCGCAAGAGAUGAACUUCAUACACACAGGUAGAAAUAGGUUAGAAGAGAAAAGAGGGAAAAAGACGCUCCAUGCAAACAGUAAUCAUAGGAAAGCUGGGUGGUACCAAGUAUUCUAAGAACAGAUGUGCCUGAUGAUAGAGCUUCAAAUAUGUGAAAAAAAAACUGACACCUGAAAGACGAAGUAAGUCCACAAUUACAGUUAUACCUUUCCGCGUUCCCCUGUCAGUAACUGCUCGACAGAAAGUCAGUAAGAGCACAGAAGGCUUGAAAAACACUAAAACCCGGCUCGAUCCACUUAACAUUGCUUAAGCAUUCCAUCCCACACGUGCAGACUAUAAUUAUGUUCUGAUAGAACGCUGAUCAAAAUAGACCACAUUCUAAGCCAUGAAACAAGACUCAAUAAAGUUAAAAGAACUGAAAUCAUGUAUAAUACAUUUUCUGGGCUGGGCGCGGUGGCUCAUGCCUGCAAUCCCAGCACUU